UUCCGGUUGAUCCUGCCGGACCUGACUGCUAUCGGAUUGAUACUAAGCCAUGCGAGUCUUUGCAGUAAUGCAAGGCAUACGGCUCAGUAACACGUAGUCAACUUACCCUAUGGACGAGGAUAAUCUCGGGAAACUGAGCAUAAUACUCGAUAGAUCAUAAUGCCUGGAAUGGUUUAUGGUUGAAAUGAUUCGUCGCCAUAGGAUGGGACUGCGGCCUAUCAGCUUGUUGGUGAGGUAAUGGCCCACCAAGGCGAUUACAGGUACGGGCUCUGAGAGGAGAAGCCCGGAGAUGGGUACUGAGACAAGGACCCAGGCCCUAUGGGGCGCAGCAGGCGAGAAAACUUUGCAAUGUGCGAAAGCACGACAAGGUUAAUCCGAGUGAUUUCUGCUAAAGAAAUCUUUUGCAAGUCAUAAAACCACUAGUGAAUAAGGGGUGGGCAAGUUCUGGUGUCAGCCGCCGCGGUAAAACCAGCACCUCAAGUGGUCAGGAGGAUUAUUGGGCCUAAAGCAUCAGUAGCCGGCUCUGUAAGUUUUCGGUUAAAUCCAUGUGCUCAACGCAUGGGCUGCCGAAAAUACUGCAUAGCUAGGGAGUGGGAGAGGUAGACGGUACUCAGUAGGAAGGGGUAAAAUCCUUUGAUCUAUUGAUGACCACCUGUGGCGAAGGCGGUCUACCAGAACACGUUCGACGGUGAGGGAUGAAAGCUGGGGGAGCAAACCGGAUUAGAUACCCGGGUAGUCCCAGCUGUAAACGAUGCAGACUCGAUGAUGCAUUGGCAUAUAGCCAGUGCAGUGUCGCAGGGAAGCCGUUAAGUCUGCCGCCUGGGAAGUACGUACGCAAGUAUGAAACUUAAAGGAAUUGGCGGGGGAGCACCACAAGGGGUGAAGCCUGCGGUUCAAUUGGAGUCAACGCCGGG
rnacentral:rRNA from 1 species